GGAAACAGAAGAGGGAUGUUCAUUAAGCAAGAAGAGGAUGUACAGAUCUCAAGGGGAGAAGAUCCCUUGUCCUCUGAGCACAGUUGGAGUUCCCAUAAACCAAGAGGUGUUAGCAGCACAAUAAUAGAUGAUUUGGCUCCCUAGUUCCUUUUAUAUUCUACCUGCCUGUUUCCAGCCCGGAGGAACUUGACCAUCUCUUGAUUCUCCUCAACAUCUCCACAACACUUUCUACCUCUCAGAGCACUUGCCAGAUGAAGCAUGGCCACUCUCUGAGGAGAUGAAGUCAGAGUUAGAAAGCACUGUGGAGACCUCCUCUGAAAGUUCAGUUGAUCCCACUCAGCAGAGCCGGUUUGACUAGGCCACGGGAUACCCAGAGAGCUGAUUGAACCUGGUCACCAGACAUGUCUCUGAGAUGUUUCUGGAAGAAAAAAGAGACAGCCUUCCCAAUGUGGGAGAGCAUCGUUCAGUCCACUGGGUCUGCACAGAACGAAAA